rnacentral:pre_miRNA from 1 species
AUCUCUUCAUUUUCCAAUAGAAGAAUGACAAAUCGAAUUUUUCUUCCUAAUUUUUAGCAGUGUUACAGGAGAAAAAAAAGUUGAAAAUUAUGAGGAAAAAAUCCAAUUUGUCAUUCUUCUAUUGAAAAUGAAUAGGGAUA